AUUGAACGCUGGCGGCAGGCCUAAUACAUGCAAGUCGAACGAGUGGCGGACGGGUGAGUAAUGUCUGGGAAAAUGCCUGAUGGAGGGGGAUAACUACUGGAAACGGUAGCUAAUAGCGCAUAACAUCCGAUGUGCCCAGAUGGGAUUAGCUAGUUGGUGGGGUAACGGCUCACAAAGGCGACGAUCCCUAGCUGGUCUGCGAGGAUGACCAGCAACACGGGAACUGAGACACGGGCCAGACUCCUACGGGAGGCAGCAGUGGGGAAUAUUGCACAAUGGGCGCAAGCCUGAUGCAGCAACGCCGCGUGUAUGAAGAAGGCCUUCGGGUUGUAAAGUACUUUCAGCGGGGAGGCGUUACCCGCAGAAGAAGCACCGGCUAACUCCGUGCCAGCAGCCGCGGUAAUUC
rnacentral:rRNA from 1 species